rnacentral:rRNA from 1 species
AGAAGCAGCCAUCCUUUAAAGAAAGCGUAACAGCUCACUGGUCUAAACAAGGGUUCCUGCGGCGAAGAUGUAACGGGGCUAAAGAUAUGCACCGAAGCUUAGGGUUGCAGUUUACUGCAGCGGUAGCGGAGCGUUCCGUAAGCGAGUGAAGGCGAAGGGUAACCGACGCUGGACGUAUCGGAAGUGCGAAUGCUGACAUGAGUAGCGACAAACAGGGUGAGAUGCCCUGUCGCCGAAAGACCAAGGGUUCCUGCGCAACGCUAAUCGGCGCAGGGUUAGCCGGCCCCUAAGACGAGCCCGAAGGGGGUAGUCGAUGGGAACCACGUAAAUAUUCGUGGGCCUGAAGAUGUGUGACGGAUCGUGGAAGUUGUUUUCUCUUAUUGGAUUGAGAGGGCAGCCAAGCGGUUCCAGGAAAUAGCCUCUUCACUAUAGACCGUACCCGAAACCGACACAGGUGGUCAGGUAGAGUAUACCAAGGCGCUUGAGAGAAGUAUCCUGAAGGAACUCGGCAAAUUGCCUCCGUACCUUCGGAAGAAGGAGGCCCCAUAUCGACGCAAGUCUUUGUGGGGGGCACAGGCCAGGGGGUAGCGACUGUUUAGCAAAAACACAGCACUCUGCUAAGUCGGCUUCAAGACGACGUAUAGGGUGUGACGCCUGCCCGGUGCUCGAAGGUUAAGAGGAGGAGUGCAAGCUCCGAAUUGAAGCCCGAGUAAACGGCGGCCGUAACUAUAACGGUCCUAAGGUAGCGAAAUUCCUUGUCGGGUAAGUUCCGACCUGCACGAAUGGCGUAACGACUUCCCCACUGUCUCCAGGAUAUGCUCAGCGAAAUUGAAUUCUCCGUGAAGAUGCGGAGUACCCGCGGUUAGACGGAAAGACCCCGUGCACCUUUACUGCAGCUUCAGAGUGGCAUUAGGAAAUUACUGUGUAGAAUAGGUGGGAGGCUUUGAAACAUCGGCGCCAGCUGGUGUGGAGCCAACCUGUGAAAUACCACCCUGUGAUUUUCUGAUGUCUAACCACGCACCGUUAUCCGGUGUUGGGACCCUCUGUGGCGGGUA